GUAAGCAUAUCAAUAAGCGGAGGAAAAGAAACCAACAGGGAUUGCCUCAGUAACGGCGAGUGAAGCGGCAACAGCUCAAAUUUGAAAUCUGGCGUCUUCGGCGUCCGAGUUGUAAUUUGUAGAGGAUGCUAUUGAGUUGUCACCGGUCUAAGUUCCUUGGAACAGGACGUCACAGAGGGUGAGAAUCCCGUAUGUGACCGGCCAGACGCUCUCUGUAUAGCUCCUUCGACGAGUCGGGUUGUUUGGGAAUGCAGCCCUAAAUGGGAGGUAAAUUUCUUCUAAAGCUAAAUACCGGCCAGAGACCGAUAGCGCACAAGUAGAGUGAUCGAAAGAUGAAAAGCACUUUGGAAAGAGAGUUAAAAAGCACGUGAAAUUGUUGAAAGGGAAGCGCUUGCAAUCAGUCUCGACGGCGGCUGUUCGGCCUCUCUUCUGAGUGGUUUAUUCAGUCGCCGCCGGGCCAGCAUCAGUUCUGGCGGUCGGAUAAAGGCGCAGGGAAUGUAGCUCCUCUCGGGGAGUGUUAUAGCCCUGUGUGCAAUACGGCCCGCCGGGACUGAGGUCCGCGCUUCGGCUAGGAUGCUGGCGAAAUGGUUGUAAGCGGCCCGUCUUGAAACACGGACCAAGGAGUCUAACAUCUAUGCGAGUGUUUGGGUGUCAAACCCGUACGCGUAAUGAAAGUGAACGGAGGUGGGAACCGCAAGGUGCACCAUCGACCGAUCCUGAUGUCUUCGGAUGGAUUUGAGUAAGAGCAUAGCUGUUGGGACCCGAAAGAUGGUGAACUAUGCCUGAAUAGGGUGAAGCCAGAGGAAACUCUGGUGGAGGCUCGCAGCGGUUCUGACGUGCAAAUCGAUCGUCAAAUUUGGGUAUAGGGGCGAAAGACUAAUCGAACCAUCUAGUAGCUGGUUCCUGCCGAA
rnacentral:rRNA from 1 species